rnacentral:lncRNA from 1 species
GCAGGUGACUCGGUGGCCUCAAGUGUGUACAAAACUCAAAACAUGAACAACAAUAUAUAUUACCAAUCUUCAAACCUGGUUUGCCUAGAACUGGAAUACAGUUGCCUGCGACAUAUUUUAGAAGAACUAGAAAAGUCAAAGUAAUGGAUAACAGAAAAGAGCCUCCAUUCUUCAAUGAUGAUAACAUGGGACCAUUUUACUACAGACUUCAUUUCUGUGAUACCAUGGAGCUCUUCAUUGAAACAUUAACUGGAACAUGUUUUGAGCUGAGAGUUUCACCUUUUGAAACUGUUAUUUCUGUGAAAGCAAAAAUUCGAAGAUUGGAAGACCCAGGAGAUCCUACUGAAGUGAGUGGCUGGCCGAGUCCAGUGACCACAUCAGCACAUUCAGUAAUGACUCUUGAAGCUUUUGUCUGCCCUAAAUGAUUUGGUAUUCCCAUCUGUCGACAACACUUAAUUUGGAAUAACAUGGAACUUGAAAAUGAUUAUUGCUUGAAUGAUUACAACAUUUCAGAAGGGUGUACCUUGAAGCUAGUUUUGGCUAUGCGUGGCGGACCUAUAAAUACUAGAAGAGUUCCUACAGACGAUCCACUUAGGAAGAUGGCAGAGUACUUGGAUUCCAGUCGAGUUGAGGUCUGGGAGAAGACCUCCUGCAGCAAACAAGUUACAUUUUUGGUAUACCAAGAAGGA